rnacentral:rRNA from 1 species
GCUGGCGGCGUGCUUAACACAUGCAAGUCGAACGGAAAGGCCUGCUUGCAGGGUACUCGAGUGGCGAACGGGUGAGUAACACGUGGGUGAUCUGCCCUGUACUUCGGGAUAAGCUUGGGAAACUGGGUCUAAUACCGGAUAUUCAACUUUGUGUUGGAAAGCCUUUGGGGGGUAUGGGAUGAGCUUGCGGCCUAUCAGCUUGUUGGUGGGGUAAUGCCCUACCAAGGCGUCGACGGGUAGCCGGCCUGAGAGGGUGUACGGCCACAUUGGGACUGAGAUACGGCCCAGACUCCUACGGGAGGCAGCAGUGGGGA